rnacentral:rRNA from 1 species
UACGUAGGGUGCAAGCGUUGUCCGGAAUUAUUGGGCGUAAAGAGCUCGUAGGCGGUUUGUUGCGUCGGCUGUGAAAUCCCGAGGCUCAACCUCGGGUCUGCAGUCGAUACGAGCAAACUAGAGUUCGGCAGGGGAGACUGGAAUUCCUGGUGUAGCGGUGAAAUGCGCAGAUAUCAGGAGGAACACCGGUGGCGAAGGCGGGUCUCUAGGCCGAUACUGACGCUGAGGAGCGAAAGCGUGGGGAGCAAACAGG